CCCUCCACACUUCCUGAUGAAGUGCUUCGUAUCAGUAGGUGCUCCCUGACUCGCAGCAUCUGUUAAUCCAGCCUAAGCCCACAGUCCUGGCUAGGUCCUGACACAUGUGACAAGUGCAUGACAUCUGGUGGCUGCAGAAUGAAGGUAAUGUAAUGAAAUGGCUUGGGAGGGGCAUUCAUAUCCUCUGAGAAGGUGACACUAGGUUGGGAGGUAGGAAACACGGCUGCGGAGAAAGUUUAAGAUUCAGACCCUAAAAGGAGCUUGUUCUGGGAGACAGAGGUGCGAAAGCUGUCCUGUAAGAAUGAAGAGACUAACGAGAAUGGCUUCCUUCUCUGUCCUUCCGAGGCUACAAUGAGAUAAAAGUUAGAGCUGCACUGAGGGAGAUGCAAGGUUCAGGGGACAGGCAGCAGUCCAGCUCAUCCCAGCCUAGCAAGCUAAACCGCACCCAGCGGUCGUUAGCUGCUCCCCAGCAACAAUUCCAUCCUCCACCCAAGCCUCCAUCUGGGGAACCUGGGACUGUGAGACGGCGGACUCCACCCUUUCCCAAGGGUGGUCCACGAUGUGUAGAGACACAUUUGCAUAAACAUCUUCCUGGCCAUACUAGCUGGCCAAGGGUGGAACUGACCUUGGCUGGUUAAUCAUGGUAAAUCUUUGGGCUUUUGCUAGGAUUCCUGGCACAAUGAUAGAUACCCUUUCUUUCUGCUUAGAUAUAACGGUCAAACAGAAGCCUGGGAGUGUUGGUGGCUGUGAAGUGGUCCAAACUAAGGAUGGUUUUACAUUAUGUGAAGCAGAAGAACAGAGUGUGCAAUCAGAUCAAGCCUCACCUGCAGCCAGGACUGCCUCUUGAUUCUGCAACUUCAGCUGAUAAACUGCUUUUAUCUUUAAUGAGUUUUGAGUUAAGUUCCCUAUGAUUAGAAGCCAGAAUAUCCCUAACCUACUUACCCUAUCUCCUAGGAGAACACAGGGAUAUAGGUGGGAAGUCAUUACAGAUUUGCUGUUUGUAUUAAAGCCAUGGUACUGAGCUAGAAAGGCCUGAAGCAGCCACGAGGCACAAAGCAAGCCAGGCCACUGGGUUCCCUGUGGGGGAAGACUAGCUGGAUGAGAAGGAGGCUCAGUGAAGGGCCUCUGCCAGGCAGCAGGCAGAGCUCACAUGAACAUAGCCACUCUUCCCCCACAGACCUAUCUGUCUAUCAUGGGGGUGUUGCUUUGGGGUCUUUAUGCUCAGGGGUUAGGG
rnacentral:lncRNA from 1 species